rfam:Canis lupus familiaris chromosome X, whole genome shotgun sequence.
GCCUGGGUGGCUCAGUGGUUGAGCGUCUGCCUUCGACUCAGAUCGUGAUCCCAGGGUCCUGGGAUUGAGUCCCACUUUGGGCU